GCCGGGAUAGCUCAGUUGGUAGAGCAGAGGACUGAAAU
rnacentral:tRNA from 1 species